UCUCAUCACACUUUGUCUCGACACAAACAAAUUUUUGUUGUUUAUAUUUCGUUGCUAUUUAAUGUAACAAUAUCCACUUUGUGGAAAACAAAUAUCAUCAAAAAAAGAAACAAAAAUAAAUUGUCGAUUAUUAUGAAGCUUUCAUUACUUUGGUAGUCCCACAACAAGAUAUGCAGGGAAUAUACUUCCUUACUAGCAAAUUUCAUUUUUUAAGUCUUGGCCAAAAAAUAAAAAGAAAGAUACAAGUUGUUAAUUAUUCAAUUCAGUAGUAACUUAGUAGUGAAUACUAUAAAUUUUAUUUCAACAACAAAAGAAUAAAAAAAGAACUCUAUGUUAAUGUUAAUUAGUUAAUCAUCAUCUUCCUCAUCAUCAUGUUCUUGUAGAUCUGCAAGAGAAUAACUCCUUGACUUGAAGCUUCUAAGUCUAAGUCUCAUUUCAGCAGCAUAGGAUUCAUGCAUUCUACCAUGACCAAUCUGAACCUGGUCUUCUUGUUUCUUAUCAUCAGCCAAGGAAUUAGAGGAAGAUGAAGAUGAUGAACCAGAUGGCAUUUUUCUAGCCUUUUCCUCAUCUUCAUAAUCAUAAUAAACAUCAUCAUAAUCAUCACGAUCCUCAUUUACAGGCAAAAGUGGCAUGGAUUGAGGAUUUGACCAAGAAUAGAAAGAUGAUUUUCUUGAAAAUUUGGAUGCAAUUAGAACCCUUCUUCUUUUGUUAAAAGGACUCUCUUGCUUUUGCAAUUCAUUCAAAUUGCUUACUUGUGAUAGAUCUGUGAAUGACUUUGAUUUUCCUUCAAAAUGACUCGAUAAUCCCCUCCUAAUCAAAUAUCAAAUACACCAAAAUUAGAAAAGAGACUAAUUAAACAAAUAAAUCAAAAACUUGGAACAACCCAAAAACAGAAUGAAAAGGAGAGAGAAAAGAACAAACUUGAUGGGGAGAGAGUCUUCUAAAGAAUCCAACGAACCCAACCCAUUUCUUCCUUUCAAGUUCAACUUGCUCUGUACUUCCUCAUCGUUGUCACUGUCAUCAGGAGUUCCGAUCGACGAUGAACUCUCCGGCUCCGAUGAAACACCGCCGGUGAAGAAGAGGUGGCGACCGUCGGACUGGUUGGAAGGUGGCGGAGAUGAAGGAACGUCAAUGGUGAAAGUAGGACCCACAAAAACUUCCAUUUUUUUUCACCCAAAAAAAAAGGUAAAGAGUGAUUUGGUUACUACCCUUGUCCUGUUCUUCUUCGCUUUGUCUUAGGUUUCCAAGUAAAAGGGGUGUUUGUCAUCAAUCUUCAGAACCAAACAGAAACAGGAACUCAACUAUGUAUGAAUUAGAUUUCUAU
rnacentral:lncRNA from 1 species